ACAUACGACCAUAGGGUGUGGAGAACAGGGCUUCCCGUCCGCUCAGCCGUACUUAAGCCACACGCCGGUAGGUUAGUAGUAUGGUGGGUGACCACAUGCGAAUCCCUACUGUUGUAUGUU
rfam:TPA: Aspergillus nidulans FGSC A4 chromosome VIII